UAAAGUGCCCAUGAGUGUUUUGAAAGGGGCUUAUAAAUGUAUUAUUAUUAUUCCAAUAGAUGACGUGUAAGAGUCACGCACAUUGGCGUGUAGCUUCUCGAACGUCGUCACUUCCGCAGCAGCUGCAUCAUCGACUUGGCCAACGUUUCCCACAACACAAAUGAAGCAUUGGAAUAUCCUUACCCAGCUGUUGCGUAGCCUACAAACAGUUCCUUAAAGCACUGCCUUAAAGAAUAGAGCCAAGAAAGACAAGAGGAUGGAUGAUUAACGACGCAGCAACAGGCCAGACUGGGAGAUGCUUCUUGAGAUGAGAAACUUGGAAAACGAGUCAGCACAUUCGGAAUCAUGAGCUCAUAAAACAACGAAAGCAAGCAAACACCUUUUGAAUACCCAAACUGAGGGAUGGGAAACUGCCGC